rnacentral:rRNA from 1 species
UGGGGAAUAUUGGACAAUGGGCGCAAGCCUGAUCCAGCCAUGCCGCGUGAGUGAUGAAGGCCUUAGGGUUGUAAAGCUCUUUCGACGGGGACGAUGAUGACGGUACCCGUAGAAGAAGCCCCGGCUAACUUCGUGCCAGCAGCCGCGGUAAUACGAAGGGGGCUAGCGUUGUUCGGAAUUACUGGGCGUAAAGCGCACGCAGGCGGUUCGAUUAGUCAGAAGUGAAAGCCCCGGGCUCAACCUGGGAACUGCUUUUGAUACUGUCGAGCUUGAAUCACGGAGAGGGUAGUGGAAUUCCGAGUGUAGAGGUGAAAUUCGUAGAUAUUCGGAAGAACACCAGUGGCGAAGGCGACUACCUGGCCGUCGAUUGACGCUCAUGUGCGAAAGCGUGGGGAGCAAACA